CAGCGACGCCGCGUGAGCGAUGAAGGCCUUCGGGUCGUAAAGCUCUGUCAGAAGGGGAAGAAUUCAUGACGGUACCCUCAGAGGAAGCCCCGGCUAACUACGUGCCAGCAGCCGCGAUAA
rnacentral:rRNA from 1 species